GAGUUUGAUCCUGACUCAGAUUGAACGCUGGCGGCAUGCCUUACACAUGCAAGUCGAACGGCAGCAUGAUCUAGCUUGCUAGAUUGAUGGCGAGUGGCGAACGGGUGAGUAAUACAUCGGAACGUGCCCUGUAGUGGGGGAUAACUAGUCGAAAGAUUAGCUAAUACCGCAUACGACCUGAGGGUGAAAGUGGGGGACCGCAAGGCCUCAUGCUAUAGGAGCGGCCGAUGUCUGAUUAGCUAGUUGGUGGGGUAAAGGCCCACCAAGGCGACGAUCAGUAGCUGGUCUGAGAGGACGAUCAGCCACACUGGGACUGAGACACGGCCCAGACUCCUACGGGAGGCAGCAGUGGGGAAUUUUGGACAAUGGGCGAAAGCCUGAUCCAGCAAUGCCGCGUGUGUGAAGAAGGCC
rnacentral:rRNA from 1 species